AGCUCAUGCAUCAAAGAUUUAAUUUGUUUUCUUUGAUUUUUCUUAAUUUCAGACAACCAGAUGGUCAGCCUUGCUUGUUGGGAUAAUCUAUGGAAAGAUGAGAUAUGACUACCUGAAGCCCAUUGCAGAGGAAGAGAGGAGGAUUGAGGCAGAGGAGAAAAAGGCUAGGGAAGAGGCUGAGCGCAUUGCAAAACAGCUGGCAGAAGCCAAUGAAGACACCAUACUGAAAUGAAUCAUAACUGGGAAAUAUUCCUUUUUUUGUGAAUAAAGAAAAUGGACCUGUG